rnacentral:rRNA from 1 species
GAACGCUGGCGGCGUGCUUAACACAUGCAAGUCGAACGGAAAGGCCCUGCUUUUGUGGGGUGCUCGAGUGGCGAAUGGGUGAGUAACACGUGAGUAACCUGCCCUUGACUUUGGGAUAACUUCAGGAAACUGGGGCUAAUACCGGAUAGGAGCUCCUGCUGCAUGGUGGGGGUUGGAAAGUUUCGGCGGUUGGGGAUGGACUCGCGGCUUAUCAGCUUGUUGGUGGGGUAGUGGCUUACCAAGGCUUUGACGGGUAGCCGGCCUGAGAGGGUGACCGGCCACAUUGGGACUGAGAUACGGCCCAGACUCCUACGGGAGGCAGCAGUGGGGAAUAUUGCACAAUGGGCGGAAGCCUGAUGCAGCAACGCCGCGUGCGGGAUGACGGCCUUCGGGUUGUAAACCGCUUUCGCCUGUGACGAAGCGUGAGUGACGGUAAUGGGUAAAGAAGCACCGGCUAACUACGUG